rnacentral:rRNA from 1 species
AUUGAACGCUGGCGGCAUGCUUUACACAUGCAAGUCGAACGGCAGCGCGGGCUUCGGCCUGGCGGCGAGUGGCGAACGGGUGAGUAAUGCAGCGGAACGUGCCCAGCAGUGGGGGAUAGCCCGGCGAAAGCCGGAUUAAUACAGCAUACGACCUGAGGGUGAAAGCGGGGGACCGAAAGGCCUCGCGCUGUUGGAACAGCCGAUGUCGGUUUAGCUAGUCGGUGUGGUAAACGCUUACCAAGGCGACGAUCCGUAGCCGGUCUGAGAGCACGACCAGCCAGACGGUGAGUGAGACACGGCCGCGACUCCUAGGGGAGGCAGCAGUGCGGAAUCUUGGACGAUGCGGGCAACCCUGAUACAGCACUGCCGCGUGCGGGAAGAAGGCCUUCGGGUUGGAGACUGCUUUUGUUCGGGAAGAAGUCCUCUUGGAUAAUCACCCGGGGGGAUGACGGUACCGGAAGAAUAAGCCCCGGCUAACUACGUG